rnacentral:ncRNA from 1 species
UAAACGGCAAAAAAGUGGAGCAGUAAUCAGUCGGGUUAUAUUACAGAGAGCCAUGUUAUCUGAGAAAUGGUAUUGAUUCAUUGAUGAAAGUAGCCACGGAGCUGGCAAUGCAAGUUAAAACGAGUGUUGCAUGGGUGCACCCAUUAUAGUGCUAGCGUAUUUUUGUACGUGAAGUGGUAUUGUGCAAACAAUACAAUUUAGGGUGGUACCGCGCGUGAGCGUCCUUUGA